GCCCUUCGCUGAUGAUUGAUAACGAAGACGCACAUAUACACGGCUGGGAAGAAACGCGAAGUGACGAAAUCCACAGCUAAGAGAACGAACUAGAAAUCAAUCAUGUCUGCUGUCCUCCUGUUCCUGCAGCUUCCCGAGGCUUUGAGAGAUCCAACCUCUGAAGAUGAAUCGAAGACCAGUCCUUCUGCAUCACAUGCCACUCAGGACUGCUCUCACAGAGCCCGGAUGUAGUCAGCCUUGCCCAGCAGCCUCCAGGAGUUCCUGUGCACCCUAUUUUUCUCAAUACCACAGUAUCACUAAAGGUCUGAACUGGAACAUAUCAAGAAGACACACGAGAAGGUCAAGGUGAUGGAGCUCUUGGCUGGUUAUCCACCUCACAAAGAGCCAAUCAGCAAAGCUUGAAUGACCUGUGUUUUCAUCUCUGACUCCUCUGCUCGGAGGCAUCAGUAAGUAGGGGUCUCAAGAUUACAUGGGCACUUCUGAAUCCAGAAGAACCAGUGAUUCCCUGAUUCAAGUUCCUCAACUUAAUCCAGCCAACCUCCAUCUCCAGGAUCUUCCUGAAUGAUGAAGAGCUGAGCCCUGAGGUAGAUCCUCACUGCUUAGGACGUUUACCUGCUCCAACCUCCACACAUCGAGAUACAGGACAACACAUGUGAGCUGAUCCUCACAUCCAGCACACAACAGACUUUCCAAAAACUCUCUGACCACAAAGUUGGUGCCAGAUCACAGUGGUGAGCAGACUCAGAAGUGUGCAGACCACCAAGUGAAGUCCCCACUCCCUAACCCUGCUCUACCAUAAGCAGCCACUCACAGCGCGGGGACAUCCUGUCCUCCGUGUUUGACUGUGAGAGCUCUGUUUCAUCUUCAAUUCCGAGCUUCAGUAAUGAAUUUUAAAAUUUGAAUUCUAGAAGACAGGAUGGACUCUGAUUUCAUAUUCAGAAGGUCUUGUUUGCAGAAGAUGUAGGUCUCAGGUAGACAAGCCACAGGCACAGUGUGGAGGAGCAGCCGAGUCUGGAGAUCUACACCUUGAGUAGAGACAGAGGCUCCGAUGGUAGGAGGAUCACCACAUUUUUGUUCUCAGAGGCUUUGAGGGCUGUCCUGUACCAGACUGGAAACCACGAACAUCUGAAUUCCUCUCAGUUCACUUCAUUCUGCCUCAGCUCCGCACAGUGCUUUGACCAGCAAUGGCUGCUCACUGUUGGUUUGCCACCUGACACAAGCGGAAGUUAUCAUAGAGAAAGGAGCCUUCGUUGAGGAAAUGCCUCCGUGAGACCCAGCUGUA
rnacentral:sRNA from 1 species